GAUGAACGCUGGCGGUGUGCCUAAUACAUGCAAGUCGAGCGAACAGACGAGGAGCUUACUCCUCUGACGUUAGCGGCGGACGGGUGAGUAACACGUGGAUAACCUACCUAUAAGACUGGGAUAACUUCGGGAAACCGGAGCUAAUACCGGAUAACAUGUUGAACCGCAUGGUUCAACAGUGAAAGACGGUCUUGCUGUCACUUAUAGAUGGAUCCGCGUCGCAUUAGCUAGUUGGUAAGGUAACGGCUUACCAAGGCAACGAUGCGUAGCCGACCUGAGAGGGUGAUCGGCCACACUGGAACUGAGACACGGUCCAGACCCCUACGGGAGGCAGCAGUAGGGAAUCUUCCGCAAAGGGCGAAAGCCUGACGGAGCAACGCCGCGUGAGUGAAGAAGGUCUUCGGAUCGUAAAACUCUGUUAUUAGGGAAGAACAAAUGUGUAAGUAACUAUGCACGUCUUGACGGUACCUAAUCAGAAAGCCACGGCUAACUACGUG
rnacentral:rRNA from 1 species